GAUGAACGCUGGCGGCGUGCCUAAUACAUGCAAGUCGAGCGAACAGACGAGGAGCUUGCUCCUCUGACGUUAGCGGCGGACGGGUGAGUAACACGUGGAUAACCUACCUAUAAGACUGGGAUAACUUCGGGAAACCGGAGCUAAUACCGGAUAACAUGUUGAACCGCAUGGUUCAACAGUGAAAGACGGUUUUGCUGUCACUUAUAGAUGGAUCCGCGUCGCAUUAGCUAGUUGGUAAGGUAACGGCUUACCAAGGCAACGAUGCGUAGCCGACCUGAGAGGGUGAUCGGCCACACUGGAACUGAGACACGGUCCAGACUCCUACGGGAGGCAGCAGUAGGGAAUCUUCCGCAAUGGGCGAAAGCCUGACGGAGCAACGCCGCGUGAGUGAAGAAGGUCUUCGGAUCGUAAAACUCUGUUAUUAGGGAAGAACAAAUGUGUAAGUAACUAUGCACGUCUUGACGGUACUUAAUCAGAAAGCCACGGCUAACUACGUG
rnacentral:rRNA from 1 species